rnacentral:rRNA from 1 species
AUUGAACGCUGGCGGCAGGCCUAACACAUGCAAGUCGAACGAGUGGCGGACGGGUGAGUAAUGUCUGGGAACCUGCCUGAUGGCGGGGGAUAACUACUGGAAACGGUAGCUAAUACCGCAUACCACCAUAUCUGCCCAAAUGGGAUUAGCUAGUUGGUGGGGUAACGGCUCACCAAGGCGCAGAUCCCUAGCUGGUCUGAGAGGACUACCAGCCACACUGUAACUGAGACACGGUCCAGACGCCUACGGGAGGCAGCAGUGGGGAAUAUUGCACAUGGGGCGAAAGCCUGAUGCAGCAAUGCGGCGUGUAUGAAGAAGGUCUUCGGGUUGUAAAGUACUGUCAGCGGGGAGGCGUUACCCGCAGAAGAAGCACCGGCUAACUCCGUGCCAGCAGCCGCGGUAAUAC